UGGUCCCUUUCAUGGGUCCUUUGAUAUUCCUAGAUGACUUUACCCUUCUCCGCAUUGGGUGUCAGCUAAUGCAAAUUCGUAUUUUCACCUAGGGAUAGAGCUGCCUUUGCUCAUCUAGAUCUAGACUUCCAUCUCCUCCAAGCAUGGGUGUUAUCAUUUGAAGAGGUGAUGACGGUGAUGAAACUUCUUGAAUUCUGUCUGAUGCCUGAUGACCUGACAAACUGGCCCAGAAUCAGAAGCCGGUCGUGCCGUGUGAGCUGUUAGCCAAGUUAUUCAGCUUGAACUGCUCCUUCAAAAACAGUAGGAAGGCGAGUAUCAGACAUAAGACCUGUGGUACCCAACCCAGUGUCAUCAGUAUCACCUGGGAGCUUUCUAGAAAUGCAGAAUCACAGACUCAGUCCCAG
rnacentral:lncRNA from 1 species